rnacentral:rRNA from 1 species
UGAUACCUAACCUAUAAGACUGGGAUAACUUCGGGAAACCGGAGCUAAUACCGGAUAAUAUAUUGAACCGCAUGGUUCAAUAGUGAAAGACGGUUUUGCUGUCACUUAUAGAUGGAUCCGCGCCACAUUAGCUAGUUGGUAAGGUAACGGCUUACCAAGGCAACGAUGCGUAGCCGACCUGAGAGGGUGAUCGGCCACACUGGAACUGAGACACGGUCCAGACUCCUACGGGAGGCAGCAGAC